UACGUAGGGUGCAAGCGUUGUCCGGAAUUAUUGGGCGUAAAGAGCUCGUAGGCGGUUCGUCGCGUCGGCUGUGAAAUCCCGAGGCUCAACCUCGGGUCUGCAGUCGAUACGGGCGGACUGGAGUUCGGCAGGGGAGACUGGAAUUCCUGGUGUAGCGGUGAAAUGCGCAGAUAUCAGGAGGAACACCGGUGGCGAAGGCGGUUCUCUGGGAAUAUCCUGACGCUGAGGAGCGAAAGUGUGGGGAGCGAACAGG
rnacentral:rRNA from 1 species